rnacentral:rRNA from 1 species
CAUUAUUGAAGUAAACCUGAUAGAUUGUUGCUGGUUCUUUAAAGAACAUGUGCACAUCUGUCAUCUUUAUAUUUCCACCUGUGCACCUUUUGUAGACCUGGACAAGUUUCUUAAUCCUAGUAUUAAGGUUUUGGGAUUGACUUUAUUGACUUUCCUUAUAUUUCUGGGUCUAUGUUUAUUCAAAUACCCCAAUGUAUGUUAUAGAAUGUAAUAAGUGGGCCUUUGUGCCUAUAACAAUAUACAACUUUCAGCAACGGAUCUCUUGGCUCUCGCAUCGAUGAAGAACGCAGCGAAAUGCGAUAAGUAGUGUGAAUUGCAGAAUUCAGUGAAUCAUCGAAUCUUUGAACGCACCUUGCGCUCCUUGGUAUUCCGAGGAGCAUGCCUGUUUGAGUGUCAUUAAUAUAUCAACCUCUUCAGCUUUUGCUUGUUGAGUGUUGGAUGUGGGGGCUUUUUGCCGGUCUUUUUAAAGAAGUCAGCUCCCCUAAAAUUUAUUAGCGGAACAAUUUGUUGACCGUUCAUUGGUGUGAUAAUUAUCUACGCUAUUAACGUGAGGCAGUUCAGCUUCUAACAGUCCAUUGACUUGGACAGUUUUUCAUUAAUGUG